rnacentral:rRNA from 1 species
AUUGAACGCUGGCGGCAGGCCUAACACAUGCAAGUCGAGCGGAGCGGCGGACGGGUGAGUAAUGCCUAGGAAUCUGCCUGGUAGUGGGGGAUAACGUCCGGACACGGGCGCUAAUACCGCAUACUAUCAGAUGAGCCUAGGUCGGAUUAGCUAGUUGGUGGGGUAAAGGCCUACAAAGGCGACGAUCCGUAACUGGUCUGAGAGGAUGAUCAGUCAAACUGGAACUGAGACACGGUCCAGACUCCUACGGGAGGCAGCAGUGGGGAAUAUUGGACAAUGGGCGCAAGCCUGAUCCAGCCAUGCCGCGUGUGUGAAGAAGGUCUUCGGAUUGUAAAGCACUUUAAGUUGGGAGGCGUUACCAACAGAAUAAGCACCGGCUAACUUCGUGCCAGCAGCCGCGGUAAUUC